rnacentral:rRNA from 1 species
CAGCAGCCGCGGGAAUACGGAGGGGGCUAGCGUUGUUCGGAAUUACUGGGCGUAAAGCGCACGUAGGCAGCUUGGUAAGUUAGAGGUGAAAGCCUGGAGCUCAACUCCAGAAUUGCCUUUAAGACUGCCGAGCUAGCAGGUGAGAGAGGUAAGUGGAAUUCCGAGUGUAGAGGUGAAAUUCGUAGAUAUUCGGAAGAACACCAGUGGCGAAGGUGGCUCACUGGACCAGUAUUGACGCUGAGGUGCGAAAGCGUGGGGAGCAAACAGGAUUAGAUACCCCUGUAGUCCCUGUCUCUUAACA